GGAGGAAAGCAGGGGAUCGCAAGACCUUGCGCUUUUGGAGCGGCCGAUGCCUGAUUAGCUUGUUGGUGAGGUAAAAGCUCACCAAGGCUCCGAUCAGUAGCUGGUCUAAGAGGACGACCAGCCACACUGGGACUGAGACACGGCCCAGACUCCUACGGGAGGCAGCAGUGGGGAAUUUUGGACAAUGGGGGCAACCCUGAUCCAGCCAUGCCGCGUGAGUGAAGAAGGCCUUCGGGUUGUAAAGCUCUUUCAGCCGGAACGAAACGGUCACGGUUAAUACCCGUGACUACUGACGGUACCGGAAGAAGAAGCACCGGCUAACUACGUGCCAGCAGCCGCGGUAAUACGUAGGGUGCGAGCGUUAAUCGGAAUUACUGGGCGUAAAGCGUGCGCAGGCGGUUUUGUAAGUCAGAUGUGAAAUCCCCGGGCUUAACCUGGGGACUGCGUUUGAAACUACAAGGCUAG
rnacentral:rRNA from 1 species